GACGAACGCUGGCGGCGUGCUUAACACAUGCAAGUCGAACGGUGAAGCGCUUGCCUUUUUGGUGGGUGUGGAUGAGUGGCGAACGGGUGAGUAACACGUGAGUAACCUGCCCUCUUCUUCUGGAUAACCUCAUGAAAGUGGGGCUAAUACGGGGUAUUCCGGGUCUGUCGCAUGGCGGGUUUGGGAAAGAUUGCGCCUUUGGGUGUUUUCGGUGGGGGAUGGGCUCGCGGCCUAUCAGCUUGUUGGUGGGGUGAUGGCCUACCAAGGCGGUGACGGGUAGCCGGCCUGAGAGGGUGGACGGCCACACUGGGACUGAGACACGGCCCAGACUCCUGCGGGAGGCAGCAGCGGGGAAUAUUGCACAAUGGGCGCAAGCCUGAUGCAGCGACGCCGCGUGAGGGAUGGAGGCCUUCGGGUUGUGAACCUCUUUCGCCAGUGAAGCAGGCCUGCUCCUGUGUGGGUGGGUUGACGGUAGCUGGAGAAGAAGCGCCGGCUAACUACGUG
rnacentral:rRNA from 1 species